AGGUACAGUUAUGGAAACGGAGACGGAGAUGGAGAUGGAGAAGGAGAAGGAGAAGGAGAAGGAGAAGGAGAAGGAGGAGAUGGCUGGUAAAGCCUCAACUCCCGUAACAAUUGUAGAGCCGUUCUUCGUCCACCUGAUCUGCGGCCUGCCUUCUGGAUUGCUCGCUAUAUCUACUCUACCGAUCGCAUCUCCGAUCCUUCUCGCACUCUCUCUUGAUUAGCGCUGUUGAUUCUCCGAUUGUGAUUCUUCUUUACAGCCGUUAUCGUACGGACCGAAAGCAAUUCUCGUACUUGAAAGCUGUGGCGCGAGGCAUACUUGGACUCCCUACUGAUACUUCUCAAAGACCCUUAACUGGCCUCCAGACAUAUUAUCUCUCUUCCUUCUCAGUCUGAUCUGUUAAAAUAUCUACUUGACGUGGAUGCAUUCUUUUACUUGUAAGAUGUUUAGUUAACAUACAAUAAGGUAAAUACAAACUUAAAAUAAAAUUUUUAUGUGCAAUUGCAGGCCAAAUGGAACUGUUGAUCACAUGCUAUGCAUUCCAGCUCAUGGCGCCAUUAUUGGAGAGUGGUUUUGCGCAUGGUCCACUUGAUUGGGAAAGGCCACGGCAGAGACCUGAUUAAGAGGCUUUUCUAGGUUCUCUAUUAACAAGCUGAACCAAAGUAAAGGCUUUCUAGCACGGUCAUCAGAACCAUCAUCGAACAAGUUGAACAAAAACUGAGGGAGAGCAGCUAUUCUUGGAAGGUUAAGCAGAAACCCACCCACCUAAUCGUUCCUUAACAUCGAGCCAUUGCGUGCAGGGAAGCCUUCUUGCAAAUGGGUUUGGUGUUGCUGCACCGAUGUUGAGGCUAUUAUGACUAGGUUUUGGUUUACGAAGUUCUAGACAUUGAAGAAUAUUCUUCUGCAGAAGACAACAUAGGGAAUUCAGCCUGGACAUGAUGGUCUGUGUUCACCAGAGUCGGAUGCAUGUUCAGAAUCACCAAAAAGAUACCGUACAUUGAUGGACGGAUUCCAGGAACAAUGACUUGAUCCCAUUUGUUGAACAGUCUUGAACUUUCUGAUCCAUGGUUUCUCAAUUCUUCAGUCGUCAUGCGAGCUUCCAGCCCUGAAAUGUAUAGUUAGCAAGUCAAAUUAUUUGCAGAGAUAAGG